UUAAGAAGGUCGCAAGCAGAAAUCAGUCAGUCCUGAACGACCGUUCUGGGCUCCAUAACCAGCCAAGCGAAGUGAGCGAGGCAGGCCGACCUGAGUCCCGACGUGCACUGUAUUGACGUGAUUCGUAAACUUAGGCAGGCCAACUCGAGACGAGACGCAAGGUGUACCGAAAUGAGACGCCCAUCCGGAGGAGGACUUCGCUGGGACGAAAUAGAAUAUUGAAUUAUUAUUUUGACUUAUUUUGUACAUAAUUUAGAAUUAAUAGAUUUGCUUUGUUUUCAA
rnacentral:lncRNA from 1 species